UACGUAGGGGGCUAGCGUUGUCCGGAAUCAUUGGGCGUAAAGCGCGUGUAGGCGGUCCGGUAAGUCCGCUGUGAAAGUCGGGGGCUCAACCCUCGGAUGCCGGUGGAUACUGUCGGACUUGAGUACGGGAGAGGCGAGUGGAAUUCCUGGUGUAGCGGUGAAAUGCGCAGAUAUCAGGAGGAACACCAAUGGCGAAGGCAGCUCGCUGGGACGGUACUGACGCUGAGGCGCGAAAGCGUGGGGAGCAAACAGG
rnacentral:rRNA from 1 species